GUUUAAUGUCAGUUUACUCGGUUAUACCGUAGGCUGGAUUGUUAUUGUGGGAAAUUAUCGUUUUGCGCAACCCCUUUCUGUCAAGGCCGCUCAACCGCGGGCCAGGUGCAGAGAACCACACAAACUGAGUGGCACUAGCGGCCAAGGCAAAUUACAUUACCAUUUGUUCGCGGAAGUGGCUUUUUUGUGUUGGUAGAAAGGGGGUGGUGGGGGAGGAAAGGAAGAGAAACUAAAGAAGAAAAGUUUCAGCCCUCUUUCUAAAGAAAUUCAUAUGCACACUGUACGACAGCUGGCGUUUGAACCUUCGCAUUCAGCCACUUGUGUAAUUUAGUUAGAGGUAGGCCUACCGGACAACAACAGCUGGGAGAAAACAAGAGGCACAAAAGGGACAAGGAGGAAGAUUGCUGGUUUGGAGACACCCCAGACAGACAGGAGUCAGGGAUGGAGUGGAUAGAGCGGAAGAGAUGGUGAUGCCUGAGCUCCACUUCCUGCCCUGCAGCCCUGGUCUGCCUCCUACUCACUUCACAUAGACACUGAAGACUACAUGCUGAGCUGCAGACAGAUUCAC
ensembl:lncRNA